rnacentral:lncRNA from 13 species
AUGAGAACACCCAGCUGCAGCCUAGAGCCUGUGGUCCAAGGGAAGGCAAAGGUUAAAGAAAGAUGCAGAGAGAACCGGAGGCUCUACAGCAACGCAGGUGUUAUGUCCAGCACAAGACCUGAGGAGACUCUCCACUGUCCCCUGUGGCUGCACCCCCACAUCUCCAGUUCUGCCCCCUGCCUGGGGCCAGGGCCCAGCCGUCAUGACAGACACCCCAGUGGAGGAAUCUCUCUUCCAGAUCAUCCACUGCUUCCACCAGUACGCGGCCCGGCAAGGCGACGUGGAGACCUUGUCCCUGCAGGAGCUGCAGGCCCUGCUCAUGGACAGUGUGCCCCGUUUCAUGGACAGCUUGGUGCGCAGGGUCUGGGAUCAGGGUGGGGGUUCAAGUGGGGCCAGGGCACCGGUACAGGGUGGGUUCUGGGGUGGCAAGUGAGUGUCGAAAGCGAAUAGUGAGGGUAUUACACUGGGCACUGUCUCCUAUGAGAUUUUUUUGUGUGUGUGACAGAAUCUGAACCUCUGCUUCCCAAGUUCAAGUGAUUCUCGUGCCUCAGCCUCCCGAGUAGCUGGGAUUACAGGUGCCCACCAUCACACCUGGCUAAUUUCUGUAUUUUUAGUAGAGAUGGGGUUUUACCAUGUUGGCCAGGCUGGUCUCCAACUCCUGGCCCCAAGCAGUCCCCCUCGGCCUCCCAAAGUGCUGGGAUUACAGGUGUGAGCCACUGUGCCUGGCCCUGAGAAUCUUUAAUUCAGGAGAUGGUGGGAUCUGUGGCCACAGAGGGGUGUUCCCAACACAGCUGUGUUUCUUGUCCUUCCCUGUCCCCGAGCUCUCUGCCUGGCCUCACUCCAGCCCAAACUUAGUGGAUUCCUGAAACUCAGUCCUAACCACAAACCUGUGGAUGCCUCUGCCCCUCACCCAUGCCACCUGUCCAGCCCUUUGAGCUCAGCCCCUUCUCCUGGGCUGCACAAGCCUGGCCCUCCUGCCCCCAUGCCUGGAGGGAGGAUGGCGGGG